rnacentral:rRNA from 1 species
UACGAAGGGGGCUAGCGUUGCUCGGAAUUACUGGGCGUAAAGGGCUCGUAGGCGGCCUACUAAGUCAGACGUGAAAUCCCCAGGCUCAACCUGGGAACUGCGUCUGAUACUGGAUGGCUUGAAUUCGGGAGAGGGAUGCAGAAUUCCAGGUGUAGCGGUGAAAUGCGUAGAUAUCUGGAGGAAUACCGGUGGCGAAGGCGGCAUCCUGGACCGACAUUGACGCUGAUGAGCGAAAGCUAGGGGAGCAAACGGG